rnacentral:tRNA from 1 species
CGGGAUAUGGCGUAGUCUGGUAGCGCACCUGCUUUGGGAGCAGGAUGUCGGGGGUUCAAAUCCCUCUAUCCCGA